rnacentral:rRNA from 1 species
AACGCUAGCUACAGGCUUAACACAUGCAAGUCGAGGGGAAACGACAUCGAAAGCUUGCUUUUGAUGGGUGUCGACCGGCGCACGGGUGAGUAACGCGUAUCCAACCUGCCCACCACUUGGGGAUAACCUUGCGAAAGUAAGACUAAUACCCAAUGACGUCUCUAGAAGACAUCUGAAAGAGAUUAAAGAUUUAUCGGUGAUGGAUGGGGAUGCGUCUGAUUAGCUUGUUGGCGGGGUAACGGCCCACCAAGGCGACGAUCAGUAGGGGUUCUGAGAGGAAGGUCCCCCACAUUGGAACUGAGACACGGUCCAAACUCCUACGGGAGGCAGCAGUGAGGAAUAUUGGUCAAUGGGCGAGAGCCUGAACCAGCCAAGUAGCGUGAAGGAUGACUGCCCUAUGGGUUGUAAACUUCUUUUAUAAAGGAAUAAAGUGGUCCACGUGUGGAUUUUUGUAUGUACUUUAUGAAUAAGGAUCGGCUAACUCCGUGCCAGCAGCCGCGGUAAUACGGAGGAUCCAAGCGUUAUCCGGAUUUAUUGGGUUUAAAGGGAGCGUAGAUGGAUUUUUAAGUCAGUUGUGAAAGUUCGGGGCUCAACCCCGUAAUUGCAGUUGAUACUGGAUAUCUUGAGUACAGUUGAGGUAGGCGGAAUUCGUGGUGUAGCGGUGAAAUGCUUAGAUAUCACGAAGAACUCCGAUUG